UACGUAGGGGGCAAGCGUUGUCCGGAAUCAUUGGGCGUAAAGCGCGUGUAGGCGGCCCGGUAAGUCCGCUGUGAAAGUCCAGGGCUCAACCCUGGAAUGCCGGUGGAUACUGGCGGGCUCGAGUCCGGAAGAGGCGAGUGGAAUUCUCGGUGUAGCGGUGAAAUGCGUAGAUAUCGAGAGGAACACCUGCGGCGAAGGCGGGUUGCUGGGCUGACACUGACGCUGAUUGUGCGAAAGCUAGGGGAGCGAACGGG
rnacentral:rRNA from 1 species